rnacentral:rRNA from 1 species
UACGGAGGGAGCUAGCGUUGUUCGGAAUUACUGGGCGUAAAGCGCACGUAGGCGGCUUUGUAAGUCAGGGGUGAAAUCCCGGGGCUCAACCCCGGAACUGCCUUUGAUACUGCGAAUCUCGAGUCCGGAAGAGGUGAGUGGAAUUCCGAGUGUAGAGGUGAAAUUCGUAGAUAUUAGGAAGAACACCAGUGGCGAAGGCGGCUCACUGGUCCGGUACUGACGCUGAGGUGCGAAAGCGUGGGGAGCAAACAGG